ACAGCGUUUUAAGUCAACGAAAAGUAGCUGUUGGAAGACGCUCUCCAAAGCGGAUAAAUUUGAAAACAUCUUCUUCGCGUCUUAGUGUGGAUUGUGAAGACAAAUGGCCUUUGAAUACUAUGAUGCAUUUUUAGUCAUGUGAUGCAGUCGAAAGCAAAUAAACGCCUAGCGGAAAUGAUGCAGGUCGAAGCUUUACUCAUGCGCAGUAGGGAGAUGUAAGCAUUUUCAUACAUUUCAGUGUGGAUGAGCAACUUUUGGAAAGCAUUUGAAAACGAUAAUGUGGAUGCGGAGCGUUUUUAGACGUAAACUCCGUUUUCUAAUAUAUCCGGAUUAGUGUGGACAUGGCCUAAGUUUUCGUUGAUACCCAAGUUAAAAUCAAAAUAAAGAAAAUAGACUUCUCAAGCUUGAAUAAGAUCAAUGAAGUCCUGAUUUUAUUGCAGCAGAAGAACAGAAAAGUUCUGAAAGUCUCCUUUUCAGCAUUAUAAUCAGCAAAAUAAUCCAACAUCCAAGCAUGGUACAGUUAAGGGAGCAAAGUCUCGAUCAGCCUGUCCCUAUUUACGUAUGCUCAGGUUCUGUUAGACGCCUCCUUUUUCUUAAUUUGCAUAGUUUAGACAAUUUCCCAUUCUAAAUUUUACGUUUUCACUCCUACCUAUUUUACAUAACUCCUCCCCGUUUCCCAUUAUUUCCUCAUUAUUUUCAGUAGUUUUUAUUACACCCCUCUCUUUUUCUUUUGCCCUUUUAUGGAUUUCCUGUCUUUUAAAUUCCCAAUAUUUCCCAACCAAACCAUAUUUAAAUAUAAAAAAAAUUGCUUCUACUUAAACCUAACACUUCCUGAAACUUGUACAUUUCACUCUCUCUGACCCUCAAGAGACAUUGUGUGUGUCUGUGUGUGUGAGUCUGCAUGGACCUGUUUUCACCUGUACUUUUUGUGGAUUAUUUUUCUGCAUUUUCUCCUCUCAGCUCCAUAAGUCACGAGUAGACUGGUCCAAGCCUUGCUUAAUCUUCCUACACAUUUCUUAUCUACUACAGACACCAAGGCUUCUGGGAACACUAGGCCUCAUCAAUCCUCACCACCUAGGCCUUAUCCUCACUCGAAUGGAAUGAUGUCUCCAGUGACAUCUGCUGGCUGUCUACGCCACUACAGGCAUUCUCAAUUGUCUGCUCUGGCUGUGGAAUUAUCCUACUAUUUGGAUCGUCUUUACACCACUGACACCGUCAACUUCACCAUUUCUCUUGUUACCAUCUCUCAUCAGGCCCUCUACUGCGAUGCUACUACUGAAACUGAUCCAAUAAUCUCUCCUGCUGCCAUUGAAUGCAGCACCCAGACUAUCCUUCACCCAUGGAAUUAUCGUUAUGCAUGUGGGGCAUAUGAUGUAUGAGUCAACCCUGUAUCUCCCUAUACUUCUUCAACUCCCGGUCCUUUUUCUCAUCCUAGUCCAGACCUAUCAUCUUCUAAUUCUUCCUCCCCUCCUCUGCCUUCCCCUCUCUCCCUCAAUCACACUUCCCCGACUGUUGCCAGAUCCCCAUCUCCGGGUUGUUCCUACAUUUAUAUUGAUUAGGUCAUCUCAAUAAACCUGUGUUCUACCAUA